CUUCAUACCAGUACUUUUAAUAAUUCAUUUCUUGUCUGAGGUUUGGAUCAGACUAAAACAUUACAAUCAAAUGAACCAGCACAAUCUGACAUCAAUCUCACCACAACAUUAUCUCAACAAAUAAAGUCAACAUUUUGUACAUAAUCCUGUGUACACAAAAAGAAUAGGAGUCUCAGUAUCAACACAUGGAGGCUAUCUUAUAUAAAUAAAGGCCCAAGGGAGUGACUCAGUAUCAACACAUCACACACAAUUAGACACAAAUUGAUUUCUUUAUUAACAAUGAACCAAGUUUUUUUUGUAUCCACUUGAGAUGAACUAGAGGCAGACAUGACUGGGUGGAGAAGAAAAACAAUUAGGUUUCAUUUCUUAAAAGGGAAGGGGGCAGCAUCUUCCCUUCAACAAAUACUCUCUAACACCCAGGGUCAACAUCUUCCUUUAACAAAUACUAACACUGCUAUCAAGAGGCACCAUUUACAAUGUGCACCAUUCAGACUAGAAAACAUCAACUCACAGACAUAGAUAAACACAUCUACCACACAUGGACUAGACUUAGUCCUCAGCUCAGCCAGUAUCAACCAACAACUGUAGUAGGUAGGACUAUUGACAAACUUUUCAAUUACUACUAGUCAUGUGAUUAUGUCUUCGUCAUACAUGUUAAGACAAACAAGGAAUUCUAGACUAGAUGAAAACAUCUGAACCAAAAAAAAAUAAUGGAACAGAUGUCUAUGCACUUAUUGAUGAAUGUGGAACCAAAGUUUGUCUAGAAAAGUUGGUGGGAUGAAUUGCACUAUGUCUAGAAAUCUAGCAAGCUAUCAGUGGAAAACAAUGUUAGUGAAAUACAUUUGCUCUAUGAUAUUAUGUCAGAACAGUUGAUCUCAGUUAACAAAAAGCCAGUUUAUUACACUCCAAUUGGUUCUCUGACCAAGUGCAUACAUAGCCAUGUUAAAAGCUAGGCCAAAGUGUUAAGUAUCCAGCCAUGAGUUCAUUUAUCAUUCUAUCUCUACUUGAUUUCAAACAAACUAUUUGUAGGCCCUAACAUUAUGCUUGAUAAGAUCUCUGUAGUUCAAAUAACAUGAUAUAUUGGAACAAAGGUUUUUGUAAAAAGAGACAAAUAUUAUGGACAUUCUUUUAUAUAAGGGCAUGGUGGCAGAGUGGUAAAGCGCUUGGCUUCUGAUCUGAGGGGUCCAGACUUUGAAUCUCUGAGAAGGAUGGGAUUUUAAAUGUGCCACUGAGUUCACCCAGCUCUAAAGAUUACCUGACAUUAGUUGGGGACAGUAAAGUGGUUGAUCGCUGUGCUGGUCAUAACACCCUCGUUAACCAUUGGGCAUAGAAACAGAUGACCUGAACAUCGCAUCAUCUGCUCUACAGAUCACAAGGUUUGAAAGGUGUACUUACUUUUUUUUAAAAAUAGAAAACUGACAACUACCUAAAAAAAAAUGAGUCUAGCCGAUGAACUGAUUCAUUAUUUGUAGAACUUACAUCAAUAGUUGAGACAAUCAGACUGUCUUGAAACCAACACAACAUAAAGUCUCUUUUAUACUGAACAACAACAGAAAGAUUAAAGUCUUCAGAUUAACUCAAUCAUUAGUAGCUACAUGGUCAAUGUCAAGGUACAUAGUUAGAACUGGUUGGGGGAAAACUAGCCUAGAGUAAGAGCUUUUUUCCAUUUCAUUUUCUGUUUUGGUAAUAUUGAUUGGAUAACAGUCUCAAAGUAUUGAUUUAUUUACUAGAACAGUUCUACUUAGCAGAUUGGUAACAAAUCUUGGGACUUAUAAUUAAUUGACUUCUAUCCUGUGCUCCAGCUUCAAAGUAAUUGAGCUAAAGAUUUAUGUUUUAACAAUUGUCAUCUUUCUAAAAAUACAAAUUCUCAAAAGAUACAAACUCAUAGCAUACAAAAAUUGAUUCUUUUCUCUCCCCCCCCCCCC